AGGUAACGAGAGAAGAGCGACCUCACCUACUUCAUCAAAUUCUUGCCUGUUAGCUUAUUGAUACUCUCGAUGGAGGGGCCAAAGAGGGGAGGCGUCAUGAAGAGUAUUCUGAAGCUCCUCUGCUGCUGCGAACCACCGGCCGACUAGAUCUUGCCAAGGAUUGGAAGGUGACAGUACUGAUGAAUAGCAGCAGCAAAUAAUAUGGGACUAGUGCUCUUUAACUGUUUAUGUUACACGUUUGCUUGGUGGUUCAUGUAUUUUAUAGGAUAGGUGGCCUCCUUGUUUGGAGGGCUACGUUUCUUUAGGUGUGUCAACUCAAGUGAGAGGGUGAAUCAGUUAUGGAUUUAAUAACGUAGGG
rnacentral:lncRNA from 1 species